rnacentral:rRNA from 1 species
ACACGUAGGAUGUAAGCGUUAUUCGGAUUUACUGGGCGUAAAGCGCGUGUAGGCGGUUGGGAUAGUUGGACGUGAAAGCUCCCGGCUUAACUGGGAGAGGUCGUUCAAAACUUCCCAACUAGAGUUUGGUAGAGGAAAAUGGUAUUCCGGGUGUAGUGGUGAAAUGCGUAGAUAUCCGGAGGAACACCAGUGGCGAAAGCGAUUUUCUGGACCGAUACUGACGCUCAGACGCGAAAGCUAGGGUAGC